rnacentral:rRNA from 1 species
UUCCAGAGACGGAUGGUUNCUUCGGGAACUGUGAGACAGGCGCUGCAUGUUUGUCGUCAGCUCGUGUGUGAAAUGUUGGGUUAAGUCCCGGAAAGGAAGGGCAACCCUUAUCCUUUGUUGCCAGCGGUCCGGCCGGGAACUCAAAGGAGACUGCCAGUGAUAAACUGGAGGAAGGUGGGGAUGACGUCAAGUCAUCAUGGCCCUUACGACCAGGGCUACACACGUGCUACAAUGGCAUAUACAAAGAGAAGCGACCUCGCGAGAGCAAGCGGACCUCAUAAAGUAUGUCGUAGUCCGGAUUGGAGUCUGCAACUCGACUCCAUGAAGUCGGAAUCGCUAGUAAUCGUAGAUCAGAAUGCUACGGUGAAUACGUU